rnacentral:rRNA from 1 species
AACGCUAGCUACAGGCUUAACACAUGCAAGUCGAGGGGUAACGAGAGGAAAGCUUGCUUUCCUUGUCGACGACCGGCGCACGGGUGAGUAACGCGUAUCCAACCUGCCCCCAACUAGGGAAUAACCUUGCGAAAGUAAGACUAAUACCCUAUAAUUUCCUCAGAUGUCAUCUGACGAGGAAUAAAGAUUUAUCGGUUGUGGAUGGGGAUGCGUCUGAUUAGCUUGUUGGCGGGGUAACGGCCCACCAAGGCAACGAUCAGUAGGGGUUCUGAGAGGAAGGUCCCCCACAUUGGAACUGAGACACGGUCCAAACUCCUACGGGAGGCAGCAGUGAGGAAUAUUGGUCAAUGGGCGGAAGCCUGAACCAGCCAAGUAGCGUGCAGGAUGACGGCCCUAUGGGUUGUAAACUGCUUUUAUACAGGAAUAAAGUUAGCCACGUGUGGUUAUUUGUAGGUACUGUAUGAAUAAGGACCGGCUAAUUCCGUGCCAGCAGCCGCGGUAAUACGGGAGGUCCAGGCGUUAUCCGGAUUUAUUGGGUUUAAAGGGAGCGUAGGCCGUCUGUUAAGCGUGUUGUGAAAUGUAGAUGCUCAACAUCUGAAUUGCAGCGCGAACUGGCAGACUUGAGUGUGCGCAACGUAGGCGGAAUUCGUGGUGUAGCGGUGAAAUGCUUAGAUAUCACGAAGAACUCCGAUUG